CAAACGGCCCUUUUAAGGGUCACCUUCCUAAAAUUUAAUUAUUUU
rfam:Macrostomum lignano uti_cns_0011812, whole genome shotgun sequence.